rnacentral:rRNA from 1 species
CUACAGGCUUAACACAUGCAAGUCGAGGGGCAGCAUGGUCUUAGCUUGCUAAGGCCGAUGGCGACCGGCGCACGGGUGAGUAACACGUAUCCAACCUGCCGUCUACUCUUGGACAGCCUUCUGAAAGGAAGAUUAAUACAAGAUGGCAUCAUGAGUCCGCAUGUUCACAUGAUUAAAGGUAUUCCGGUAGACGAUGGGGAUGCGUUCCAUUAGAUAGUAGGCGGGGUAACGGCCCACCUAGUCUUCGAUGGAUAGGGGUUCUGAGAGGAAGGUCCCCCACAUUGGAACUGAGACACGGUCCAAACUCCUACGGGAGGCAGCAGUGAAGAAUAUUGGUCAAUGGGCGAGAGCCUGAACCAGCCAAGUAGCGUGAAGGAUGACUGCCCUAUGGGUUGUAAACUUCUUUUAUAAAGGAAUAAAGUCGGGUAUGGAUACCCGUUUGCAUGUACUUUAUGAAUAAGGAUCGGCUAACUCCGUGCCAGCAGCCGCGGUAAUACGGAGGAUCCGAGCGUUAUCCGGAUUUAUUGGGUUUAAAGGGAGCGUAGAUGGAUGUUUAAGUCAGUUGUGAAAGUUUGCGGCUCAACCGUAAAAUUGCAGUUGAUACUGGAUAUCUUGAGUGCAGUUGAGGCAGGCGGAAUUCGUGGUGUAGCGGUGAAAUGCUUAGAUAUCACGAAGAACUCCGAUUGCGAAGGCAGCCUGCUAAGCUGCAACUGACAUUGAGGCUCGAAAGUGUGGGUAUCAAACAGGAUUAGAUACCCUGGUAGUCCACACGGUAAACGAUGAAUACUCGCUGUUUGCGAUAUACUGCAAGCGGCCAAGCGAAAGCGUUAAGUAUUCCACCUGGGGAGUACGCCGGCAACGGUGAAACUCAAAGGAAUUGACGGGGGCCCGCACAAGCGGAGGAACAUGUGGUUUAAUUCGAUGAUACGCGAGGAACCUUACCCGGGCUUAAAUUGCAGAUGAAUUACGGUGAAAGCCGUAAGCCGCAAGGCAUCUGUGAAGGUGCUGUAUGGUUGUCGUCAGCUCGUGCCGUGAGGUGUCGGCUUAAGUGCCAUAACGAGCGCAACCCUUGUUGUCAGUUACUAACAGGUUCCGCUGAGGACUCUGACAAGACUGCCAUCGUAAGAUGUGAGGAAGGUGGGGAUGACGUCAAAUCAGCACGGCCCUUACGUCCGGGGCUACACACGUGUUACAAUGGGGGGUACAGAGGGCCGCUACCACGCGAGUGGAUGCCAAUCCCCAAAACCUCUCUCAGUUCGGACUGGAGUCUGCAACCCGACUCCACGAAGCUGGAUUCGCUAGUAAUCGCGCAUCAGCCACGGCGCGGUGAAUACGUUCCCGGGCCUUGUACACACCGCCCGUCAAGCCAUGGGAGCCGGGGGUACCUGAAGUGCGUAACCGCGAGGAGCGCCCUAGGGUAAAACUGGUGACUGG